AGAGAGAGACAUGCGCGCAUAUCAAUAAGCGGAGGAAAAGAAACUAACUAGGAUUCCCUCAGUAACGGCGAGUGAGGCGGGAAGAGCUCAAAUUUGAAAUCUUCAAGGUUCUACCUUGACGAAUUGUAGUUUAAAGAAGUGUUUUCUGUUGGAGUUUUGGUAAAAGUUCUUUGGAAUAGGACAUCAUAGAGGGUGAGAAUCCCGUAUUUGACCAUUAUUUCCAGCUUUGUGAUACACUUUCAAAGAGUCGGAUUGUUUGGGAAUGCAGUCCAAAAUGGGUGGUAAAUUUCAUCUAAAGCUAAAUAUUGGCGAGAGACCGAUAGCGAACAAGUACCGUGAGGGAAAGAUGAAAAGAACUUUGAAAAGAGAGUUAAACAGUACGUGAAAUUGUCAAAAGGGAAGCGUUUGACACCAGUGUUGUUUUCUCGAAAAUCAGUUAAAAAAGGCAGGAUUUUGUGUUGUAUUGACUUUAUCAGCUUUCUGCACUCUUUUCUUGUCUUUUUUAAUGCACUUUUCGUUUAACAAGUCAACAUCAAUUUCUUUUGUUGUAAAAGGGUCAUUGGAAGGUGGCUUUCUUUUCGGAGAAAGUGUUUAUAGCCUUUGGCCUCUGCAAUCGGAGAGAUUGAGGUCUGCAGCGUAGAUCCUUCGGGGUUAGAUACAUUUGUGCUAAGUUAUAGCCUUUCAUAGACAACUUGUUGACUAUGAUCAGUCAUGUAGCUUACUCGCUUAUGCUAUUUUACCUACGCUUAGGAUGUUGAUGUGAUACUGCGAGC
rnacentral:rRNA from 1 species